rnacentral:rRNA from 1 species
UUCCGGUUGAUCCUGCCGGACCUGACUGCUAUCGGAUUGAUACUAAGCCAUGUGAGUCUUUGUAGUAAUACAAGGCAGACGGCUCAGUAACACGUAGUCAACCUACCCUAUGGAUGGGAAUAAUCUCGGGAAACUGAGGAUAAUACCCAAUAGACCAUCAUACCUGGAAUGGUGGAUGGUUAAAAUGAUUCGUCGCCGUAGGAUGGGACUGCGGCCUAUCAGCUUGUUGGUGGGGUAAAGGCCCACCAAGGCGAUUACAGGUACGGGCUCUGAGAGGAGAAGCCCGGAGAUGGGUACUGAGACACGGACCCAGGCCCUAUGGGGCGCAGCAGGCGAGAAAACUUUGCAAUGUGCGAAAGCACGACAAGGUUAAUCCGAGUGAUUUCUGCUAAAGGAAUCUUUUGCCAGUUCUAAAAAUACUAGUGAAUAAGGGGUGGGCAAGUUCUGGUGUCAGCCGCCGCGGUAAAACCAGCACCUCAAGUGGUCAGGAGGAUUAUUGGGCCUAAAGCAUCCGUAGCCCGCGCUGUAAGUUUUCGGUUAAAUCUAUGUGCUCAACGCAUAGGCUGCCGAAAAUACUGCAAUGCUAGGAAGUGAGAGAGGUAGACGGUACUUGGUAGGAAGGGGUAAAAUCCUUUGAUCUAUCGAUGACCACCUGUGGCGAAGGCGGUCUACCAGAACACGUUCGACGGUGAGGGAUGAAAGCUGGGGGAGCAAACCGGAUUAGAUACCCGGGUAGUCCCAGCUGUAAACGAUGCAGACUCGAUGAUGCAUUGGCAUAUAGCCAGUGCAGUGUCGCAGGGAAGCCGUUAAGUCUGCCGCCUGGGAAGCACGUACGCAAGUAUGAAACUUAAAGGAAUUGGCGGGGGAGCACCACAAGGGGUGAAGCCUGCGGUUCAAUUGGAUUCAACGCCGGG